GACAAUAUAUGGCACCUUUGCUGCAGUUGCUCUUUCUACGACUCCAUUCCAAUCCGAACACUCAGCAUAGGCGGUUCGUGUAUGCAUGCACCUUGUCUCGGGUGGGGUUUGUACACCCUGAGGGAUCUCCAGGGAGUAGUCAAGCGUGACCAUAUGGGGCUUAUUGUUGACCCAAAGCACUGAUGUGGAGAUGUCUUGUU